CUCUCUCUGGCUUCUUUUCUCCCACGCCCCCGCUGACGUCACCCCCCCUCCCCUCCACGAAGAGGAGGCUUCUCUCUCUCUCAGCAACAGGUGGGACUCACUCCCCGCCGCAACCCCCCGACCCUCACCUGUGGAGCCCCAGAGAGAGAACGGAGGACAAGCCCCGCCCCCUCCCGCCCCCGCCCCCGCCCCCCUCCUUGGGCGCGGCUCUCUCCUCCCCAUCAUCCCCAGGAAAAGGGCAGGAAAGGAGGGGAUGAUGGGACGCCCAGAGGGAGGGAGGGAAGAACGGACCAAUAGGGAGAGAGCCAGGGGAGGGGGGACAAAUACAACAGACAGAGACAGAAAGACAGUACAGUCUGGCUUGUCCUGCAUACACAGCUCCCAGCAUCCCUUACCCUUGCCGCCCUGAAUUCAUUAUGUCAUGUAGUUUCCCCCAGAGAAGCCAUGGACCUUGGGAAACUACAGCUCCCAGCAUCCCUUACCCUUGCGGCCCUGAAUUAUGUCAUGUAGUUGCCCCCAGAGAAGGCUGUGGACCUUUGGAAACUACAGCUCCCAUCAUCCUUUAUCCCUGGGGCUCUGCAAUCAUUUUAUCAUGUAGUUUCCCCCAGAAAGCUCUAUGGACCUUGGGAAACUACAACUCCCAGCAUCCCUUACGCUUGGGGCCCUGUGUCACUUGUAUCAUGUAGUUUCCCCCAGAGAAGCCAUGGACCUUGGGAAACUACAGCUCCCAGCAUCCCUUACCCUUGGGGCCCUGAAUUCAUUAUAUCAUGUAGUUUCCGCAAGAGAAGGCUGUGGACCUUGGGAAACUACAGCUCCCAGCAUCCCUUAACCUUGGGGCCCUGUGUGCUACAACUCCCAGCAUCCCUUACCCUUGGGACCCUGCUGUGGACCUUGGGAAACUACAGCUCCCAGUAUCCCUUACCCUUGGGGCCCUGUGUCACUUGUAUCAUGUAGUUUCCCCCAGAGAAGCCGUGGACCUUGGGAAACUACAGCUCCCAGCAUCCCUUACCCUUGGGGCCCUGAAUUCAUUAUAUCAUGUAGUUUCCCUGUGGACCUUAGGAGACUACAGCUCCCCUCAUCCCUUAGCCUCGGGGCCCGAAGUGUCGCUCUGCAGUGCGGACCCCCCCCCCCCCCCCCCCGCCUUGCCUGAUGAUCCGCACCCGCCCUAAGCCUGGCCGUUCCGCCUCCAGAAAGUCCCCAUAAUCCUAAUAAGCCUCAGAUACGGAUCUCUUAUUACCGGCCUGCUUCUUCUCCUUCUUUUUUUAUGUCUCCGAAGGGAGAGGGAAAGGGAUUUGGGGGGAUUUUCCACCUCUUGGGCUCAAGCGGCCUCCAGUCGACCGACCGUGGAAGGGACGUGGCUUUGGGCCUCCUUCCAGAGAGACAGAGCGGGGGACAACAACAACAACAACAACAACAAGGCUUGCUAUGUUCAGGGCUCCGUUGUUGGUGGAGUACAGAAUGCUCUUUGAUUUAUAAAUCCCAGCAACUACAACUCCAAAAUGACAAGGCGUAUUCUCCCAAAACUCCACCAGUGUUCACAUGUGGGCAUAUUGAGUAUUUGUGCCAAGUCUGGUCCAGAUCCAUCAUUGUUUGAGUCCACGGUGCUCUCUGGAUGUAGGUGAACUACAACUCCCAAACUCAAGGUCAAUGCCCACCAAACCCUCCCAGUAUUUCCUGUCAGUCAUGGGAGUUCUGUGAGCCAGGUUUGGUUCAAUUCCAUCGUUGAUGGAUUUCAGAAUGCUCUUUGAUUGUAGGUGAACUAUAAAUCCCAGCAACUACAACUCCCAGAUGGCAAAAUUGACCCUCUAAACCCCACCAGUAUACAAAUGUGGACGUAUUGGGUAUUUGUGCUAAAUUUGGUCCUGUGAAUGAAAAUACAUCCUGCAAAUCAGAUACUGACAUUACAAUUCAUAACAGUAGCAAAACAGUUACGAAUUAGCAAUGAAAUAAUAAUAAUAAUAGCUGAUAAGGAGAAGAUCUGGCUCUGGCUCACGAAUGGGACCCUGAAGAAGGAAGGAGACAGAAGGCCUGAUCCUUGCAGCCCAGGAGCAAGACAUCAGCACAAAGGCCAUUCAGGCCAAGAUCGAAAAAUCAGCUGAUGACCCAAAAUGCAGACUGUGCAAGGAAACCGACUAAACCAUGGAUCAUCUCCUCAGCUGCUGUAAGAAAAUCGCACAGACAGACUACAAACAGAGGCACAACUAUGUGGCCCAAAUGAUUCAUUGGAACUUAUGCCUCAAGGACCACCUCCCAGCAGCAAAGAACUGGUGGGAUCACAAACCUGCAAAAGUCUUGGAAAAUGAGCACGCAAAGAUACUGUGGGACUUCCGAAUCCAGACUGACAAAGUUCUGGAACACAACACACCAGACAUCACAGUUGUGGAAAAGAAAAAGGUUUGGAUCAUUGAUGUUGCCAUCCCAGGUGACAGUCGCAUUGAAGAAAAACAACAGGAAAAACUCGGCCACUCUCAGGACCUCAAGAUUGAACUUCAAAGACUCUGGCAGAAACCAGUACAGGUGGUCCCGGUGGUGAUGGGCACACUGGGUGCCGUGCCAAAAGAUCUCAGCCGGCAUUUGGAAACAAUAGACAUUGACAAAAUUACGAUCUGCCGACUGCAAAAGGCCACCCUGCUGGGAUCUGCGCACAUCAUCCGAAAAUACAUCACACAGUCACACAGUCCUACAUCACUUGGGAAGUGUUCGACUUGUGGUUUUGUGAUACGAAAUCCAGCAUGUCUAUCUUGUAUGCUGUGUCAUAAUAAUAAUAAUAAUAAUAAUAAUAAUAAUAAUAAUAAUAAUAAUAAUAAUAAUAAUAAUACAUCACACAGUCCUAGACACUUGGGAAGUGUUCGACUUGUGGUUUUGUGAUACGAAAUCCAGCAUGUCUAUCUUGUAUGCUGUGUCAUAAUAAUAAUAAUAAUAAUAAUAAUAAUAAUAAUACAUCACACAGCCCUAGACACUUGAGAAUGUUCAACCUGUGAUUUUGUGAUACGAAAUCCAGCAUGUCUAUCUUGUAUGCUGUGUCAUAAAAUAAUAAUAAUAAUAAUAAUAUUCAUAGUAAUAAUAAUAAUAAUGCAAGAAAGGACACCAUCUUGCUAGGCCUGGGGUCUGCCUGGGGCCCCCUCCUCCUCCUCCUCCUCCUCCUCUUUGCAGGGAAAUCAAUGCAAAGGCUGGUUUUCCCCCAACAAUGAAUCAAGGAGGAUGAAUCAGGGAAAGCGGGCUCCCUCCUCCUCCCUCUCGCUUUCCUUUUUUGCAGCACCCUCCAGUGCCUCCCCCCCCUUUUCUUUUUUUCUCUCCCUUUCUCCUUUUCUUUGCUUUUCUCGCAGGUUCGCCUGCCGCCUCCAAAGGUGGAUGAUGCCGGCAGCCGGGGUUGCCAUGGCGACCGCAUCCAGGUGCCACCUUGACGUGCUGGGGAGGCUUAACUACUCUAAUGAUGACCGACGAAACCAUGGAUCAUAUCCUCAGCUGCUGUAAGAAAAUCGCACAGACAGACUACAAACAGCGGCACAACUCUGUGGCCCAAAUGAUCCAUUGGAACUUAUGCCUCAAGGACCACCUCCCAGCAGCAAAGAACUGGUGGGAUCACAAACCUGCAAAAGUCUUGGAAAAUGAGCACGCAAAGAUACUGUGGGACUUCCGAAUCCAGACUGACAAAGUUCUGGAACACAACACACCAGACAUCACAGUUGUGGAAAAGAAAAAGGAUUGGAUCAUGGAUGUUGCCAUCCCAGGUGACAGUCGCAUUGACGAAAAACAACAGGAAAAACUCAGCCGCUAUCAGGACCUCAAGAUUGAACUUCAAAGACUCUGGCAGAAACCAGUGCAGGUGGUCCCGGUGGUGAUGGGCACACUGGGUGCCAUGCCAAAAGGUCUCAGCCGGCAUUUGGAAACAAUAGGCAUUGACAAAAUUACGAUCUGCCAACUGCAAAAGGCCACCCGACUGGGAUCUGUGCGCAUCAUCCGAAAAUACAUCACACAGUCCUAGACACUUGGGAAAUGAUCGACUUGUGGUUUUGUGAUACGAAAUCCAGCAUAUCUAUCUUGUUUGCUGUGUCAUACAAUAAUAAUAAUAAUAAUUAUCACCAGAAAAGGCAAAACCUCAUAAUGGGACCUUGCCCAGAACCAUACAGGUGGUGGUUUGCAACUCCCAUCAGCCCAAUUUGGUGACUGUAACUCCCACCGGCCCCAAAUUGGGGGACUGCAGCUCCCAUCAGUCCCAAAUUGAAUAACUGCAAUGUCCAUCAGCCCCAAACUGGGUGACUACAACUCCCAACGUCCCCAAAUUGGGUGAAAGCAACUCCCAUCAGCCCCAAACUGGUUGAAAGCAAUUCCCAUUGGCCCCAAAUUGGGUGAGUGUAACUCCCAUCGACCCCAAAAUAGAUGACUGCAAUUCCCAUCAGCCCCAAAUUGGCUGCAACUCCCAACGGCCCCAAAUUGGAAGACUGCAACUCCCAUCGGCCCCAGAUCUUUGGCUUCCCUCCAAAUAAUUGACCAAAUGGCUCAGCCUUCUUGCUGGGCUGCAACUUCCAUCAUCCCCACCCUUUGAUAGACAUUGAAAUACACACUUCCAAGCGACCAUUCAGGGAAAUUCGGACUACGACUCCCACAGUCCCCAGAAGGGGCGUCUUAGAGCACUGAAGAAGGCAGAAGACUGUCAACAGUGAGACUCGAUCAUUAACUCCCAGAAUGCUGUAUUUGGUCAGGGCUUAUGGGAGUUGGAGUCCAAAACCCACCAGAAGCUUGAGAAGCAUUGGUCUAGGUGACCUUUGGAGUUCCUUCCAAAAGGGUUGAGUGUUGGGCUGGCCUUACAGAACCAAUGCCAAGGCUGGGAUUUGUAGUUUAUUGGGUGCCGGCCCUCAUUGGCAGGGAAAGCUUUGCAAAACGAUGACAACAACGACAACAACGACACAACAACAAUGCUCUAUCUCUGAGAAAAGGAAUGGGUCAGAACCCUAAAGCAGCACGCGGAUCUCGGAGGCUACAGAAAUGUUAUUUUUUUGGACUACAAGUCCCAGAAUGCUGCAGCAAAGAUGGCUGCUGGUGGGGAAUUUGCAGAGUUGGACCUGGGAAAACAUGGCUGGGUUUCUGUGGAGAAAGAGCGCCCCCCACCCCUUCCCUGGACAAAAGAGGUACUGCAGCUUCAAAUGGGAACACAUUGAUUGGAGAAACAGGAGGUGCUUUUUGAAAAGCCGUACCUUAAUAUUUCUGCAGAAAGUCACAUUUAUAAAUCUUAAAAUGGAAAACAAGGGGGACAAAUAAAUAAAUACAAAACAGGGUUAUAUGGAAAGCCAAGAUGCAAAACCACGAGGCCUAAAUCUGUAUUUGGAAGCCAAAGAUGGCUAAAAUUAGAAGUAAUAAUAAUAAUAUUAAUACUUCGAACCUACUGGAAUUUUAAUUUGUAGAAAACUUAAUACAUAUUUUUUAAACAGUAUUUAAAAAGAAACAGUGAAAAACCUUAAAACCAACUAAAUAAAACCUGUUUGUGUAGCUAAAAGCGCAUGAAAAUAAAGCAAAAGUGGGGCUGAAUCACCAGAAAGCAAAAGUGGGGCUGAAUCCUGUGUGAAAUUCCAGGAAUAAUAAUAAUAAUAAUAAUAAUAAUAAUAAUAAUAAUAAUAAUAAUAAUAAUAAAAAUAGAAAAGCAGGGAAUGAUGAUGAUAAUGGUGAUAGGAAAAGCAGGGAUAAUAAUGAUAGAAGGGAAUAAUAAUAAUAAUAAUAAUAAUAAUAAUAAUAAUAGAAAUAAGAAAAAGCAGGGAAUAAUAAUAAUGAUGAUGAUAUCAGAGGAUAAUAAUAAUAGUAAUAAUAGUAGUAGUAGUAAUAAUAAUAAUAGAGUAACAAUAGAAAUCAGAAAAAGCAGAGAAUAAUAAUAGAAAAAGCAGGGAAUAAUAAUGAUUAGGAUAAUAAUUGAAAAGCAGGCAAAAACAACAAUAAUAGCAAUAAUAAUAAUAAUAAUAGAAAAAGCAGGAAUAAUAAUAAUAAUAAUGCAGCGGAUAAUAAUAAUAAUACAGUAGAGUCUCACUUAUCCAAGCUAAACGGGCCGGCAGAACGUUGGAUAAGCGAAUACGUUAGUUAAUAAGGAGAGAUUAAGGAGAAGCCUAUUAAACAUCAAAUUAGGUUAUGAUUUUACAAAUUAAGUACCAAUACAUCAUGUUAUAGAACAAAUUUGACAGAAAAAGUAGUUCAAUACGCAGUAAUGCUGUGUAGUAAUUAUUGUAUUUAUGAAUUUAGCACCAAAAUAUCACAAUAUAUUGAAAACAUUGACUACAAAAAUGCGUUGGAUAAUCCAGAACGUUGGAUAAGCGAGUGUUGGAUAAGUGAGACUCUACUGUAAUGUGUGUCUCCAAGGGGUACGUUUAUGAUGAUGAUGAUAAUAAUAAUAAUAAUAGAAAAAGCAGAGAAAUAAUAAUAAUAAUAAUAAUAGGUAUCACUCGAAGCCACCCCCAGUUUUGGGACAUUUUCAGUUUUGGAGUCGUUGCUUAUCCAAGUCCAAAGCAGAAAGGGUCACACUCUCUCAGCCUCCCCGGGGAGCCAUUUUGGAAUAUUUUGAGGUCCCAGAUAUGGCCCGUUGUUCAGCUUGCACUGCCUUUCCCCCCAUUGACACAAACCAGACCAGAGCGGCAAACAAUCCAAAGCUUUAUUGUGAGCGAAACAACCUCUCGAGUGCGAACGGAGUGGCGUUUUGCAGCCGUAGAAAGGGUUGCUUGCUUGCUUGGGUGGGUGCAAAAGGAUGGGGGAAAGAAAUGGAUAUGGACCCCUUUCUGGGGGGAGAAACAUUGGACCCAGUGCAUAGUCAUCGCGUCCAACCCCUUCACCAUAUAUUCAAUUUUGCAUUUCACUAUUUAUGCAUAAGUACGAGUUAAGAUUUGGACUACAGCUCCCAUCAAACAAGAGAUUCAGGCCUGGGCCAACUUUGGCCCUCCCUCCAGGGGUUUUGGACUCCAACUCCCACCAUUCCUAACAGCCGGUAGGAGUUGGAGUCCAAAAUCCUUGGAGGGAGGGCCAAAGUUGGCCCAGGCCUGGUAUAAAGUCGCUUUUCCGUCCCUGAUCCUUAGCAAUAAGGCACUGCAAUCUCCACCCGCCCACCCACCCACCGACAAUAAAAGACCCCCGAGUGCCACGUGCUUGAAUGCGUGGGGUUGCUUCCUAUAGUACAAAAUGCAAGCUGCGUUGGGGAUACGGCGACGUCGGAAGCAGCAAGGAAACCUGAUGUCGAGCCCCGAAACGGAGCAAAGAGAGAGAGAGAGAGAGACCCCGCUUCCCAUCCAGAAUGACUCCUUCCGGGACACAAAAUGGAAUGAUGCCCCCUUAAAGAGGGUCUACACAGCGGACCCAAUUCCGGGGGAAAAGGAGACUGGCCUGGGGUCCCGGGACGGAGCGCCUCUUCCAUCAUCCUCGGCUGCGGAAGCGGCAGUGGCGGCGGCGGCUACAGCUUGCUCUGGGCAAAUUGGAGCAGGGCCUCCAUCUGGGCCUCCAGGGAGAGGGUGUCGCCCUCGUUGGACAGCACCCAGUCGAAGGGCAUCCCCUGGUCCAGGCCGCACUCCGACUCGGAGUCGUCGAUCCCUGGAGAGGAGAGGAGAGGACAGAGGGGCGGUCAGCACAGGAAGCGUCCAUCCGCACUGGCAAAGGAGGGUGCCGCUUGGGACUGCUGCAGCUGCCACGGUUACAGGAGGAUGAUGAUGAUGAUGGGUGUCCACAAGGGGUGCAUCAAUAAUAAGAGUACAAAUACUAAUAAUGUGUGUUUACAUAGGGCGCAUCUAUGAUAACAAAAAUACAUAUCUAUUACUACUAAAAAUGUGUGUCUUCAUAGGGUGCAUCUAUGAUAAUAAUACUAAUAUUACUAAUAAUAAUGUGUGUCUACAUAGGGUGCAUUUAUGGUAACAACAACAAUAGACAUGUGUGUCCACAUAGGGUGCACCUAUAAUGAUGAUGAUGAUGAUAAUAAUAAUAAUAAUUUGUCUGUACACAGGGUGCAGCUAUGAUAACAACAACAAUAAUGUGUGUCUACAUAGGGUGCAUCUAUGACGACGACGAUAAUAACAAUAAUAAUCUAUAUCUACAAGGAGUACAUCUAUGAUAAUGGUAAUAAUAAUAAUAAUAACAAUAAUAAUGUGUGUCUACAAGGGGUACAUCGAUGAUGAUGAUGAUAAUAACAAUAAUAAUCUGUAUCUACAAGGAGUACAUCUAUGACAAUGGUAAUAAUAAUAAUGUGUGUCUGCAAGGGGUACAUCGAUGAUGAUAAUAAUAAUUAUAGUAACAAUGUGUGUCCAUUGAUGAUGAUGAUGGUGGUGAUGAUAAUAAUAAUAAUAAUAAUAAUAAUAAUAAUAAUAAUAAUAAUAAUGUGUGUCUCUAAGGGGUACAUCUAUGAUGGUGGUGAUGGUGAAAAUAAUAAUAUUAUGUGCCUACAAGGGGUACAUCUAUGAUGAUGAUGCCGAUGAUGAUAAUAACAUGUGUCUCCAAGGGGUACAUCUAUAAUUAUUGUGUUGAUAAUAAUAAUAAUAAUGUGUGUGAUGGGGACAAUAAUAAUUGCGAUGUGUUGUUUUGUGUUGUGGUGUGUCUCACCUGGGACGAAGACCCAGUCCCUCCUCCUCCGCGUCUCCUCUGUGGCCACGACCCGCACCACUUGCACCAGGUCCCCAUAGACGUCCCGGAACCACUCCACGUCCGAGAGGCGCCUCGUGUCGCUGACCAGCUGCGCCAACAGAAAGGAGGAAGCCAUGAAAAUGAACACAAUCUGGUGAGCAGAAUCAAGACAGUAAAUAAAGAACACCACUCAGACACAGGGGAAGUCCAGAUGGCAAACAAUUCCUAUGCCAUACAAAGCGCAUAUGUGUGUAUGCACACACACACACACAUACAUACAUACACAAGCAUAUAUAUUUGGCGGAUGCCUCACCCAGAUGGGCUGCGUGACCUCCCCCACCACGAUGCGGCAGAAGAAGCCAGGGUCGGCCCGGCGGCGCUCCUCUCCCCACCGGAUCAUGUCCUGCCGGUAAGUCUCCUUGUAGUCCGUGGCAUCCAGGAGGCGCUGGAAGUCCAGGCCGUGCUCCUGAAGGCAAAAAAUACAAAAAUAAUAUAUAAUAUUACAAAACGUCAGGAGAUAAUACAGCCCAGAAAACAUACAACAACCCAAUACUCCUGUAUAUUAUUAUUAUUAUUAUUAUUAUUAUUAUUAUUAUUACUGUUGCUUGGGACAUGACAGAAUCAUGCCUUCUUCUGUGUAUCAUCAACAUUAUUCUAGUGUGGCUUGGGACAUAAUACAGUAGAGUCUCACUAAUCCAAGCUAAACGGGCCGGCAGAAGCUUGGAUAAGCGAAUAUCUUGGAUUAUAAGGACUGAUCAAGGAAAAGCCUAUUAAACAUCAAAUUAGGUUAUGAUUUUACAAAUUAAGCACCAAAACAUCAUGUUAUACAACAAAUUUGACAGAAAAAGUAGUUCAAUACGCAGUAACGUUAUGUUGUAAUUACUGUAUUUACGAAUUUAGCACCAAAAUAUCACGAUAUAUUGGAAACAUUGACUACAAAAAUGGCUUGGAUUAUCCAGAGGCUUGGAUAAGCGAGGCUUGGAUUAGUGAGACUCUACUGUACUCCUAUCUUCUCCUGUAUAUUAUUAUUAUUAUUAUUAUUAUUACUGUUGCUUGGGACAUGACAGAAUCAUGCCUUCUCCUGUGUAUCAUCAACACUAUUCUAGUGUGGCUUGGGACAUAAUACUCCUAUCUUCUCCUGUGUAUUAUUAUUAUUAUUAUUUAUUCCAUAAACCUGCCCGUUCUUUGCGAUCAUCCGGGGAGGCCCUGUUAUCACCAUUGCCUAUAUCCCAGGCCCGCCUUGUAAGUACAAGGGAGAGGGCCUUCUCUGCUGUGGCCCCCCGACUGUGGAACUCACUACCUACUGAAAUAAGGCAAGCUCCCACUCUGUUAGCUUUUAGGAGAGAAUUGAAAACAUGGCUCUUCCGUUGUGCUUUCGGUGAGUAAUUUCUGUCAUAUAUCUCCGUAUUACUCCCCUCCGAACAUCUAUCCUCUAGAUUACCCCUUCCAAAUGUCCCUGCCCAUAGUGGAGCACUCCUCUGUCCCUCUCACUCCGGGUUUUAUCUCUGUGUUCAAGCGGCCUGCCCUUGCUUUAUUGUUUUUUUUAUUUCUUGAUGUUCUGUUUAUUAUUAUUUAUUGUAUUUUAAAUGGUGUUAUGAUAUGUUGUUUCUAUAUUUUAUUAUGUUGUAUUGCUCUGGGCAUGGCCCCAUGUUAGCCGCCCCGAGUCCCCAUUGGGGAGAUGGUGGCGGGGUAUAAAUAAAGUUUUAUUAUUAUUA